rnacentral:tRNA from 1 species
CGGGGCGUAGCGCAGCCGGGUUAGCGCGCCUGCCUUGGGAGCAGGAGGUCGGCGGUUCAAAUCCGCCCGUCCCGACCA